CGCGCAAGUAUCUCCGCGUUGCCAGCACGCCAACCACGAGCCACCCCAGACCGGCCAGUCCAAAUCCAACCCCAGACCGAAUACCAAUUCCACCUCCCUUUGCCGCCGCCCGAGACCGCUCGCUCGCUCGUCCGACUCCGAACCGACCCAGCCUUGCUUCGCCCAGCGGGCAACGUCCCCGCGCACGCCAGCGCAGAGCCGUGUCCGGCAAGGAUUCCGCUUCGGUGGGCCCCUCCACCGCCUCUACCCGACGAUAAAUACCGCCCACGGGACGGCCUCUUCUCCAUCGCGCUCUGGUUUUCCUCUCUUCCGUGUUCGGCGCCGUUGGGCGUUGGCCCCCGCCUCGUCGCGUUCGCGUUUCCUGUUCCUCCUCCUAUUCUCCGUUUCGAUUUAGAGUCGCAUCGGCUUCUUCUUCUCCGCUUGAUUUGAUUUCGUGUCGCCGCUUUUGCCUUCCCGUGCUUCGCAGAUUCCUGGGACGGUCGCGUUCGCCUCCGUGCGACGAGGGGAGCAAUCGAUCCGAGUUUGAUCGAGUCGUCGAGUUGUUCGGUUUGCGGUCUAGUUUUUCUGUGAUCCGAUUCGACUGUUUCCUUUUCGAUCCUUGUGCUUCGUGUUCGCCUUCUCAGCGUGUGGGUUGCAGGAUUGGAUCCAGUUGGGAGUUGGGAGUUCGUCAUGGCGUCGUGUGGCAAGGGGAUCAGGCCCCGGAGGCUCAGGCAGGUCAGUCUCUCGUCGGAUCCGGUCUUCCAUUGGUUUUCUCACUUGGAUUCGGUGGUUCCAGACUCGAUUGGUCCCCUCCUGUGAUGUCUCAUCCUUGAGCGCUGGCCUUCUGUGUUGAAUCGUCCGUUAUUACUCGGUAGACGAGGUGGACUCGAGACCCUGGGUUGAUUUCGUAUUCUUACCGCUGAUCUCUGUUUUGGUAUGUGUAUGUCGCCCUUUAGAUGCAGAAGGAAUUGUGAGUACUGGCUAAGGAGUGAUGAGUUGAAGGGUGGAGGUUUGCUUUUGGUUUAUUGGUUGUUUUUUAUAUGCUCUAGUUCACAUAUGUGAAGAUUGGAUCAGAAGGUUAUGGGCCAGAUCUGCCAAGGCAGCAGGCGUGGAGUUUUGGAGGUGGAUUGAGGCGCUAGACCGGGGGUCAUAGCAACGGAAGAAGAAAAUCGUUUGGAUAUCUCUACCUCUUUCUGAUUUAUUGGUCUGCGCAGUUUAAUUCCUGCCCACUGCAAUUCUGAUUUUUGGACUGUUGGUUCUUCUCCAGCGAUUGGAUUGUAUGGAUUGCCCACGAGUGCUUCUGCUCCAGAUAUUGGAAUUGGACAAUGCAAAUUCUGGUAGAUAUCAUAACUACAGAGACAGGACUUCUCGCAGCUGAUAUUGGCAAAUUGCUGUCAUAAUCUGAUUCUGAGCAGGCUUUAUCCCUAUCCCUGCAUUAUUUGAUGCAUGUUUGUGCUGUUUAAGGGCUUCAUCUGUCAAAUUGAUAGAUACCGUUGAAUGUUCUCACGCUUAUUGCAGAUCUCUAGGUGAUACUUGCACAAGAGCUAUCUGAUGCCGAGUGAAAUAUAUGUGCAGUACUUCAAAUUUACCACCUUUCAUCUAUUGCGUGUUAUGAUGUUUGAGCGGCAUCCACAGUAGAUGAUCACAGGAUGGUUUCUUGGAUCCUUGCAGGUUACUAGCUGAUAUUUUUGCCAAAGCAAUCUAUGCCAGCGGAAAUAUAUUUGCAGUAAUUCAAAACUGGGGCGAUCCUAAUGCCGAGUGAAACUGUUGCCAGUACUUCUAACCUCUUGCAAUCCAUAAUUACUUACACAACAUGAUCUUAUAUGAAAUUGUUGCUGAGUUAAAAAUUCGAAUAUGCAGUGAUAGAAGAUGCCAAUCAUGUUUUGGGCUUCAAGCUAGAUGGGGAAUUUUGGAACUGCAAAAAACUUAGUGCUCUCCUUUUAUGCCUUUGAUACACUACGAUUCUAAACUUGUUUAUGUUUUGUGUUACUUUUCUGCGCUGAGCUUCGAUCUUCGUUUCGAUUCGUGUGUUUUUUGUUGGUCUUACAUCGUGUGGGUUUUAGGAUUGGAUCCAAUAGAGAGUCGGAGCUCUUGGUGGCGUCGUGUGGCAGCGAGGCAGGUUAGUCCCGUGGAUCCGGCUGUUCGAUUGAUUCCCUGUCACUUGGAUUUGGUGGUUUUAGGGAUUUGUUCUACCUUCUGGCUUCGUAUUAUCGAGCCCGGCCUCUCCGGUGGCCAAAUCAUGGGUCAUCACCCGAAGCCCGAAGCACGAGGUGGACUCGAGACCGCUAAUCUCGCGUGUGGUAUUUGUUUGUCCUCUAGAUAUUGCAGAUGAAUCGAAAGGGUUAUGUUUACUUCUCAGUCACGGUUAUUUUUUAUUGGCAUGUUUCAUGGUUCUUUUUAUAGGAUGCGAUAUGCGAAGAUUGUGUUGUGCGUAAUCAGGCCCUUAUUACAACUGUUGCUGGCCAGAUCUUGAGGUAGCUGAGACCCUGAGGCAAUUUUGGAGUAAAAUGUUACAUGGACCGGAAAUUAUAGUAUUGAAGAACAGCAUCGUUUGGAUAUUCUCUACCUCUUUCUGAUUUAUUGGCUUGCACAGUUCAGUUUUCUGUCCGUUGCAUUUCUGAUUUGAUUGUUGGUUCUUCUCCAGAACGAACAUUGGAUGUUAUGGAUUGCCGAUGAGUUCCUUCCACAUCAAUUGGAUUUGCUGCGCCUUGUUUGUUCACCUUCUUUGAGACAACUAAUGUUCCUCAUAGGCUAUCGUUGAUGCUUGUUAGUAAUUCUUGAUUCUCGCAGAUAUCAACUACAGAGAGAACUCAGCUGAUAUUGCUAGUCAUCAUCUGAUCAGGCUUUAUCCCUAUCUCCUGCAUUAUUUGAUCCAUGUGUUCUGCUGUUUAAGGGCUUCUGAACAAGUAGUUACCAUAGAAUGGUGUCACCUUUAUUUCAGGUCACUAGCUGAUACUUUUUUGGGGUGGAGAAAACGCACUACCUGAUACUUGCACAAGAGUAAUCUGACGCCAAGUGAAAUCUUUCUGCAUCUCUUUAAACCUACCACCUUUUCUAAUUCGUAAUUAACAGUUUGAGUGGUUUCGACUUAGAUAAUGAUCGUAGAAUGGCCUUUUGAUCAUUGCAGGUCAUUAGCUGGUAUUUUUGCAGGACCAGUCCAAUGCAGUGAAAUUUAUUGGCAGUACUUCUAACUUCUUCCUAUUCAUCAUUACUUAGAUAUUAACGUGUGAAAUUAUGAAAUUGUUAUUGAGUUAAAUAUCCGGCUGUUCAUCAUUAUUUACACAACAUGAGUUAAUAUGAAAUUGUUGCUGGGUUAAAAAAUCGGAUGUUUUGGUUGAUCUGCAGUGGUAGAAGAUACCAAUCAUGUUUUGGAGCUUCGAGUUAGAUGGGGAAUUUUGGAAGUUCUAAAAUUACACCCUGAAUUUGAUUAUAACUUUUAAUUAUAAGUUUAUUUCUUUCUUAUCAUGCUGAGUGUUUCAUUCGUGUAGCUUUUAUUUCAAUGUUGCUUUUCUCUGUUCGCAGAUCUUUUAGCUCAUCUGAUUGGUAGUUCAUCUGAUUUGGUUGUGAUGUCUGGUUUGGGAUCUCUAUCUUCGGUUUGAUUUGCUUCAGCUAGUUUCAAUCUCCAUGUUCCUUGCUCGCUUUCUCCAUAUGUUGGUUGUAGGACUUGUUUGGCAUUGGAGCUCCCUGUGGCACAACCUUACACUGGAAAUCGGGGCAGGUCAGCGCCUAGUGCAUGGUCCUUUUGGUUAAUUUGUCUUGUUUACUUGGAUUCAGUGAUUUCAGAUCUAAAUGGCUUGCCUGUAAUAUUCUGCCUUCGUGUUCCUAACCUUGCUCCUCCAAUGGAUAGUGAAGAGUUAUAUUAUACUCGCGAGGUUUGAGACCCUGGAUUUAUUCUUAGUCAAGCUGAUUUCAGUUGUUGUGUGUGUUUGUGUCCUUUAGAUACAUGAGAAGAUGUUUGCUAUCGAGAUUGAGCAGGGUAGAGGUUUGGUUAUGGUUGAUAGGAUUUUUGAUGCUAUGGUGAUAUUACCAGUAUGAAGUUUCCUACUUUGUUAUCAGUAGCUGUGAGCUCUGAUUUGAAUCAUGUUCAGUUUUUGGAGGUUGGGUUGAGCUUUGAAUUGAGUGGAGAUCACAGAUUGGAAAAUUAUGAAACUUUGUUUGGAUAUACUCUAGCCUCUCACUUCUGAUUUAUUGGUCUGCACAGAUCAAUUUCAGUCUGCUGAUCUGUUGCGCCUUUUGUUCCCCAGAACUGAAAUUAUAUGGAUGCCAGGGAGUUCAUUUGUGCUGCAGCAUUUAAUAAGGAGGGUUACUAGUUCUUCCGUUUGAUUAACAGUCUUCUCCAGUUAUUUUCUUAACCAGUAAUUCUUUGAAUUCUUUCCUCCUAAAAAAACUCUUCUGAAUUCUUAUUCUUACAAAUAUGGCACAUAGAGAUUCGAUAGAAUUUCCUAUCAAUGUCAGUGUAUUUUGUGUGCCUGACCUCUCUUAAGCAAGGGACUCUCCCACUCAUCAUUUCACCUUUAAUUUUAAGUAACUUUACCCCAAAGUAGUCACUGGUUUCUCAUCGAUGAUUUAGCAAGAUCAAUAUGUUGCUGAGCGGAAGUAUUCUCGUAUCUUUCAAAUUGCACUGCCUUAUUCACUUCGUUGCUAGUCAGAUAAAUUAUGAGAACUUGAUAUUGGUGGUGCAACACUUGAAUAUUCGAAUUGAUCUGCAGAUGUAGGAGGUUCUAAAGCUGUUUGGAAGCUAUGUGCUAGUUUGGUGAUUCAAAGCUACAAAAACACGCUAUCCAUCUUCCUAGAGUUUGCACUAACUAUUGUUCUGAUUCUUGACUACUUGAUUGGCACAUUACUUCUCAGUCCACUUGUCCGAUUUUAGUUGAUGACUGCUUGGUUGGUUUCCAGUUAAUACACGUACGGAUGCUGAGACAUUCUGAGUUUGGGGCAUCUUAUAAGAUUCUUCCUUCUACCCAGAGUUUCCACUUUUGCUCCUGAUUACUCCUCGUUUUGGGUUCACUGGUCCGAUUUUACUUGACAGUUGUUUGGUUGGUUUCCAGCAGUUGGAGCUUAAAGGUGGAUGGAUGCUGGAGACAUUCUGAGUUCUGGGCGUUUUCAUCUUGUGGAUUCUACCUUCCCGUGAUCAAUAAUUGUUUCACAUGUUUCUUUUGAUAUCCGUAGUUUAGCCAUAGCCUAUAACGUUUUGGUGUCCUCUGUAUAGUGUGCAAAAAAAAUGCCUCAGCUAUUGGUGCAGGUUUUCACUGUUUGAGUUGUUCUCCAGAAAGAAAGGAAUGAUCUCUCGCUCGCGUUGGUUGCUAUUGAUUCUGCAAGAUCAGUCUGAAGCAGAGCAGAAUAUGUUUGCAAACAACACCUAAUUUCUCUGCUUCUUCAACCUCUAGUUAGUAUAUUUUGCAAAAAUUAUUUGGAUUUGGUCUGUUUAUUCAUGUGCUGAUUGAAAUGUUUGUUCUUUAUUGCAUUGCAUUUUCUUUGGUUGGUGCCCUUAGCUUGUUGCUUAUUAGUGCGGGACAUUGCUUUCAGUUGUACCUUGGUCUAUUUGAUGAGUUAUGAUAAAAGUUUCGGUUGUCAUGUUAUGAUUUCUAGAUUUUUCAUUCACUAGUGUGCUGGCAAUUGGAUUGUUCUCCAAAGUUUUAUCUAUUAGUCUACUGUUUUGUUUGUUCCUCUGACUUUCUACUUAGCAAUUGUUUGUUCUUCUGGCUUUCUAGUUAGUAACUUUGCACUCUGUUCUACUUUAUGCAUUGCACUUAUCUGUGCAGAAUUUGACUUAUUUAGCCCGAACAGAGGAUGGCAACACAUGACUGGGUUGUAGGGUGAGUUUUUGCUGGUUUUGUAAAUUGAACAUAUUGUGGUUGAGUAACCAUUUUCGGAUUAGGUAUUAUGAGCAACUACAUUCAUAUAAAGUUUGAGCAAUGGCUGGAGAGCUUAAAAUGGGAUAGUUCUCUCAUCGCUUGUGUGAUUAGCAACCGACUCCGAUCUAGGUUUGUUUGAGUUUUCAGAAAAAGAUUAUGUUUGUUUAUAAUAAUAUUAAUAUUAAUUUCCUUGAUACUGCUUUGUCUUUACUGCACACUUUAUGCUUCAUCCUUUUUUUAUGCAGAUUACUGACUAGGGGAUUCAGCGUGGAUUCUAUCUUAUAACAUGUAUCGCUAACACUAGAAACUUUCCUUAUAAUUCUAUUCUAUUGAGAUGACAAAGGAGAUAAGGUGGAUCUCCAGUUGGUGUUUGCAUGAUCUUGGCCCUCCCUCUUUUUGGAUUUCCAUCUGCUGCAAUCUCAUUUCAUCUAUUCUGGUUGUGGUAAUUGUCACCUUUUAGCCAGUUCUUAUGUCAUCUCGGUGUUGCAGUUCCUGGUUUGCACAGUUGGUUGAAAUUUUCAUAAGUGAAAUUUGGGUGGAAGUGGAACUGUGGAGUCUUCUGUUUGUCUGCCGUUUGAUAAACAUCGUGUUGGGUUGAGUGGUUCAUUUUGGGUGGAAGUGGAACUGUGGAGUCUUCUGUUUGUCUGCUGUUUGAUAAACAUCGUGUUGGGUUGUGGUUCAUUUCAGUGUGGUGUUCAUUUCAGUGACGGAAAAAGAUGUCAAUCUGAUAACAUUAAGGAGGGAACCACCGGAUCACAGAAUUUUCUUUCGAAGAUGUACUGGACCUCGAAAAUUUGACAGCAUAGAUUGAAUUCUUACUAGAUGCAUUGUUGUUGCUGUGUUGCAAUUAAGUCAUCCUGGUACAGAUUAUUCAGGCUAUGUGUGCAGUGUUUGGGGACAUUGAAGUGGAAGAUCCCAGGAUUGGAACGUAUAGCAAAAGGCUUAUGGCUGAAGUUUCUGUGCAAGCUUUGCAGUAACUAAACCGAGUUUGCUCACCUGAUCUUUUUUAUUUGUGAAUUUGAAGCAUGUGGUCAUUCGUGUGACUGCUCAACAGAUUGUUGGUAUUUACUCAUCUUGCAUGAAGCUAGGCUGGGGUCGCUGUCUUUCGGAUGGAACAACUAUCUUCCUUGAACAAGUAGUCCAAGCCAACAUAGGCGAUGGUGAAAGUAGUGAAGCCCGGAGCCCCUUACUAGUAAUUUUGGUUGCAUGUAUCUGCACUGAUUGUGGCUGAGAAAUGAGGCUUUCUCAAAUUGUUAUUAGCCAAGGCUGAUUACCGAUUUAUGAUUUGGACUGCUAGUUAUCAAAUAAUUUCUGGAGUUUGGGAGGACACUGGUACUUCUUGUGCUGCCGCCUGCUUAUCUGCUAACUCAUCUGAGCUGUGGACUGUUUUUCUAUCGGUACUCAGUAGUCAUGUAUCUCUUAUUGUUCUGUUACCUUUUGUGAUAUAUUGGAUUUCUCAGCUGUACAAAAUAAUGAUUGCCUCAGUAUCUGCAUGCUUAUGGUCUUCUUUGCUAAACUAUAUACUAGGUCGGUGAAAUCAAUUGCGUCCUGAUCUGGAGAAGUUGGAUGGCAUUGGAUCCCUAGUUAUUAAACCGUACAUUAAAAGGCUAAAUCGUUGUACUUAAAUUGCUCAUUUUGGACACUUUCACACUUAGAUUAGAUUUGCCAGUCUACACGAUGUUGAUGGUGGAUUCAAAUCACAUCUUGUUCGUUCGAUAUUUUCAUGAGCAGUGAAUAGCUGUUUGGUUCACUUCUGUGACAAAUCGAAUUCUAGGUUCGCUGAUUGUGACCAUAUAUGGUAAAGAUGGCUUAUGGGUUAAUGCAGAUUUCGGAUCUAGCCUUCUGACUAUUUUGGUUAUAUGGAUCUCCAGAGGUACAUUAGACUCCAGAUUCACUGAUGGGUAAUAACCCAGAACUGGAAGCUUAAUCAAAUUGUUUGCUUUGGACUUUGCACUUCCUGAAACUCUGUUAGUGUUUUCUUUCCUGUGGCAAGUUCUGAUUUGGAUAGUUGGUCAUGGAAUUGAUUUUUCAGAAGCUGGUUCUUGUGGCAAUGGAGCUUUUUUGGUGCGGAUAUGGGUUUCGGAAUCUUCAAUUGCAUUGAAAAAGGAUUCAAAUAAGUUUAUGCCCAUUUGAUAACUGGUGGUGGUUGCAUAUUCUCAAACCUGCAAUUGGACAAGAAUUAGAGUUUGCCUGCACUGCCUUUUUGCUUUAUACUCCAGAGCCCAGUUGGCUAAAACAAGACCAAUUCUCUGUUCACAAAUCUUAGUGCCAACAAAACGUAAAAUUAUGGACUAUCUGAAAUUAUCUGUUCAUACAAAGGAACCAUGUAUGUCCUAUUGGUGUCGAUCUUCCUUUUGCUCAUAGCGUGUUCUUAUUUUCAAAUCUAGAGCUGGCAAUAGAUCAAUUUACUUCCUGUCAGGUUUCAGAAGAUAUCUUGCUUUUUUCAUACUCGGAAAAAGUGAUUUGUUUGCUAUUUUAAUCUGUUCUGAUUUGUGGUUUGUUUGUUUGCUGUUUAACACUGCCUUUGCCGGUCCCAAGCCCGGAUGAGAAAAUGUGGAGGGAACUGCAAAUAGCUCCGUUGUAUUUUUUCUUUUGAAAUGAAAUAUCUGUAUUCUAUGAUUA